CCUUCCAGGCAGCGAUAUGGCCCCACGCUCUCGGGUCCUCUGGUCACCGGGGACUCCUGACCCUUGCCCCUCCCAGAAGGAAGGGCGCUUAGAAAGCGCCUAGUUCUCGAUUGGGUGGAAAACUUUACUUUGUAGGGUUCCGACGGUAGCCCAGGGGCCAAAGCAAGUCCCAGAUGGAGAGUCCCUCCGGGGCGCGGGUUCUGCGACUGCGAAAUAGCCCUCUCUCCUAAGCACCUGGAACUUGGGAGUGGCCUUUCCCGGGCAUCUCCCACCCCCAGCACACACGCACGCCUCGUGAUCGCCGAUCGCCCCUCGCAGCUCGGGACUGCCCUCCAGCCCCUCGGCCCGGGGCGAAGCGGACAGGCGCCUUUAAGGGCCGCUCGGCUUACCUUUGCUCGGUUCCCCCGCGCCGCGGUGCCCCCUCCUCCGACCUCCCUGCUCGCGCAGCUCGCUGCCCGCCGGCCGCACUCACCGCACCGCCCGCGCGUGUCCUGGGUCGCCGCGCGCCAGCCCGCCACGGCCCGGAGGCUUCGGGGCUGGGCGCCGCGCCCUGCGCCCUGCGCCCUGAGCCCUGCUGGGGUCGGUCCCUGCCCCAGCGCGGGGCCGCUUCCCCAGCUCCCGAAAGGGCUGUCCCUGAGAGCCUGGACUAGGGGGAUAAGGCCCUCAAGACUGGAUCACCCCAGGACAGGAGCCCUAGAGGUGGUUUCCCCAAAGCGGAGCUCUCUAAAGCAAAAUGGGAAUCAUGUGAAUGUCCACCUCUUGGGAUGUGAGAAUUAAAAGGCCUGAAGGUGACCGUGCUUUGUGAACCGUCAAGCCGUCUGCGUGUGUAGGAGAUCACGGGUGUUUGGCUCACGGGCCCUCCUCAAUCAAGUGAAGACAUGGGAAAUGGGAAACCAGCAAGGAUAGAGAAACUCACUGCAAGAGCAGGUAGACUUUGAGGGACCAAUAGAACUUCUUGGCUCAGUCUUUGAGAAGCACCCAGGAAGCCUGUCGGAUGGGUCCAGGACAGGUGUUACGGAGGUGGCAGACAACCUCGGGAAGCUUGGCUCUGGGUCAAGGAAGAAGGCCAAGCUCGAACCCCACAGGCCCACCUUAACCUGGCCUCUGUUCACAUCCCACAACCUCUGCUGCUGUCAGUCACCUUAACAAGAACUUGACAAUGGGCUACUCUGCCCGUUUGCUUCUGAUGACUCCUGGGAGGGACCUCGUGGUCCCCAAGCUCACCUUCAGACUCUAAUGAAAUCUGAGGACCCCCUCCCAGGACUAAAAACACACAUAACUCUUCCCAUUUGCUUUCAGGAGCUUUGGGCCUCUUCAGGUUCACUCAGGAGCUCCCUUCAUGGAGGCAUGGCCUUUGAGGUCCCUUGUGACCUGGCCCUGCCUCUGUCGGCAGCUCUUCUUGAUUUUCUCCCUCUCGUGCUUUCCAACCACAUCAAAUUACGCGUACUACACACACCACCGUUCCACCGCCUCAGGCCUCACAUUCCCACUGGGAUUGGAGAGGCUUUCUCCUUCACCUCUCACCUAGUAAACUCCUAUUCAGUCUUCAAAACCCAUUCUAGGAGUCACCUUCUCCUUGACACACAUGGUCCCCGAUGCUGUCUGGACAUGCUUCACUGCCCAGUCUGAAGCACUUCUGCCCUAUGUACGGCUCUUCCUGUCUGUCCCCUGAGGCGCAGGGCUCCACGCCUGUCUCCUUUACUGGACUAUGAACUUCCCCAGGCCAGACAUCACACCUUUAGCUUUUGUAUUCCCAGUACCUAGCAGUCACAGGUGCGCCCCAGGGGCUGGCGAACCAAAAUGGCAGAACUAAAUGGGCAGAGGAAGCAGAAGAGAAGGAGCAGGUGGGACUUUAGGCACCAGGAGAAAGGGGAGGUGGGAAGCACCUGGAGGUCAAGGAGUUAAGGACUGCAGGGCACCAUUGAAUUUGGCAGCUAGGAAGCCACUGGUAGGGUGACCAGCUGUCCUGAUUUGCCUGGGACUCUCCCAGUUCUAGUAUGGAAAGCCCUGGACAAACAGAAACAGUCGGUCACCCUAGAUUGGUGACCUUUCCAACAGCAGUUCAGGAGGUAGGAGCCGGGCAGAGCCUGGAUGUGGGGAGCGGAGGGGUGGGUGCAAGGUGGGAGGGGCCCUGGAUGUACCUGGCUGCCGACAGGAGGAGGAGCCUGAGGUCGGUGCCAGCCACCACCGUGCCUCCUGCCCCCGCCGCCCUGGAGAGAAGGCAAACAAAGCCGGUGGAUGUCAGGGACACGGCGUACACGCUUAAUGACUUCUUCCUGAAGGGCUCCAAGCACGCUACCUCCGUCACCCAACGAGUCCUGCCACCACCUCUGAUCCCCGAGGGAACGGCAACCCUCUGUCCUCUGACGUCUUGCAGCAAGCAUCUGUGUGUUUUAUCCAGUUGGUGUGAUGGGUCCUGCUUGGACUCCUGGUGGCUCUUCUCCACUUUUGAACUGUUAUUUAAGAAUCUCAUUUGGGGGCCAGACUGUAGCAUGUGUCUAUAACCCCAGCUACCUGGGAGGCUGGGGCAGGAGGAUCACAAGUUCAAGGCUAGCCUCAGCAAUUGAGCAAGACACUGUGUCAAAAAUUUUGAAAAAUAAUAAUAAGAGAUCUGGGGGUGUAGC